rnacentral:rRNA from 1 species
GUGUAGGCGGAUAUAUAAGUCAGAAGUGAAAUCCAAUAGCUUAACUAUUGAACUGCUUUUGAGACUGUAUAUCUAGAAUGUGGGAGAGGUAGAUGGAAUUUCUGGUGUAGGGGUAAAAUCCGUAGAGAUCAGAAGGAAUACCGAUUGCGAAGGCGAUCUACUGGAACAUUAUUGACGCUGAGACGCGAAAGCGGGGGAGCAAACAGGAUUAGAUACCCUGGUAGUCCACGCCCUAAACGAUGCACACUAGUUGUUGUGAGGCUCGACCUUGCAGUAAUGCAGUUAACACAUUAAGUGUGCCGCCUGGGGAGUACGGUCGCAAGAUUAAAACUCAAAGGAAUAGACGGGGACCCGCACAAGCGGUGGAGCAUGUGGUUUAAUUCGACGAUACACGAAGAACCUUACCUGGACUUGACAUAGUAAGAACUUUCUAGAGAUAGAUUGGUGUCUGCUUGCAGAAACUUAUAUACAGGUGCUGCACGGCUGUCGUCAGCUCGUGUCGUGAGAUGUUGGGUUAAGUCCCGCAACGAGCGCAACCCUCGUCAUUAGUUGCUAACAGUUCGGCUGAGAACUCUAAUGAGACUGCCUACGCAAGUAGGAGGAAGGUGAGGACGACGUCAAGUCAUCA